rnacentral:rRNA from 1 species
UACGUAGGGGGCUAGCGUUGUCCGGAAUCAUUGGGCGUAAAGCGCGCGUAGGCGGCCAGAUAAGUCCGGUGUGAAAGUCACAGGCUCAACCUGUGAAUGCCGCUGGAAACUGUCUGGCUUGAGUCCGGAAGGGGCGAGUGGAAUUCCUGGUGUAGCGGUGAAAUGCGCAGAUAUCAGGAGGAACACCGAUGGCGAAGGCAGGUCUCUGGGCCACUACUGACGCUGAGAAGCGAAAGCGUGGGGAGCGAACAGG